UAAACAGGAUUCCCUUAGUAAUGGCGAAUGAAUAGGGAUGAGCUCAACGUGGGAAUUGUGGCUUCUGGCUUUGAAUUGUAAUAUCAAGAUGUGUUGCUAACGGGGGCGUAUAUGUAAGCCUCUUGGGAAAGAGAAUCAUUGCGGGUGAGAAUCCUUUCCGUCAUCUGCAGCCCUCCGUGUACGGCAUGCAUUCUAAGAGUCACGUUCCUCGGGAUUGGAACGCAAAUUGGGUGGUAAAUUUCAUCUCAAGCUGAAUAUGGGUUCGAGACCAAUAGCAAACAAGUACCAUGAGGGAAAGAUGAAAAGGACUUUGGAAAGAGAGUUAAACGUGCCUGAACUUGUUGAAAGGGAAGCGGAUGGAACCAGUGCUUUGGUGAGACUGCUGCAUUCCAUAUUGAUUACCCGCUGUGCCAGCGCAAGCAGUGCAUUGGGUUCUGAUGUGGACGAAUGCGAUGUUUCUUGCUUUGUGUGUCAUCGCCAGUGUGAUGAUGAGGACAAUUCUGGGGGCAUGGUGGUCUGCCUCCGGGUAGGUGAACGUGUCUUGUAAUACUCAUCGCCAUACUUUUCAUAAGUGUGAGGUCGUGCUGUCUCGCUGCAGACCCACGGUCUGACUCACUCCUUGGGUUGCAGUCGGCAUCUCCCUGACAUAUCGAUGGUGGC
rnacentral:rRNA from 1 species